CAGGGUGCAGUGAGAAGUCGUGUCCACAGGGGGCGGCAUGGCCCUGUGUUGGCUGUGGAGAGCCUAUCAGAGACCCUGUGGUGCUACAAGUGUGCUCAGACCAGCAGUGGGAGAGUGUGUCAGCUGUUUCCUGAGGGAUGGGAGGACCUUGUGUAGGACAGAUUAUGCCCGACUAUUUGCAGAGAAGUGUGGAGGCUGCGGGGAGGCAGCACUGUCCUCUGACCUGGUCGUAAGGGCAGGGGGACAGAUCUACCACCCUGAAUGUCUGCACUGCUCGCUCUGCGGUUCAUUACUCAUGCCUGGGGAAAGCUUCAAGCUGGGGCCAGGAGGACCAUUCUGCCAGGCAGAGAAACACGAUGCCAGAGAAAGAGAGCCACAAAGUAGAAACACUGAAAAGAAGAAAAGGUAGUAUAGUUGCAUGUGCAGUUUAUCUAUUGAUUAUAUUAUCUAAUUGACUACCAUUAAUGAUAGUAAUGAUAAUUAAAUGAUGAUAAUAAUGGACUGCAAUUACAUAGCACUGUUUCAAUUGUGUAUAUUGCAUGUUGGGGGCAUCUUCUAAUCCCUUAAUGUACUUUAGUUUGAUAUACUCUUGUAAGGGUCUGGAACAGGGAGAAGAGGAGGUGUUUGGGAGAGGAGGUGGGUGGACAGGGGUAGAGGUAGAGGGGUGCAGGUACGUACAGUCCUCCGCAACUCCCAGCUAAGAGCCCUGCAAACCUACAACUCCCAGACCCAGCUGACUGGCCACCUGAUUGGCCUUAGCCCGCGGGUCAACAGGGUGUGGUUCCAGAACAAACGCUGCAAGGACAAGAAGAGCCACGCCAAGAGAGGAGGCAGACCAGUGUCAGACUUGGACUUCACAGUCCUGCUGUGUGCUUCUGCCAGACCGAUGGUCUUCUCUCCUGAGCCCCCUGUAUUCGCCCUCCAGAUCUACACCUAUAAGUCAUCGUGGCAACCACUUGACGGCCAACUCAAACCCUUUACUAAACAUGAAGUCCAGUCUCUCACAGAGACAUCACAGAGCACAUGUUCCUCAGAAGACCUGGAUUCACCACAGCAGCACAGUGAUGAGUCUGUCGCCAUUCUGACUAUCUAGAAACUACCACUAUCCCAACACCCUCACUGAACUGUUAACUAU